rnacentral:rRNA from 1 species
UGGGUAAUCUGCCUCACUGAUUGGGACGAACCUGCCGAAAGGCGGGCUAAUACCGGAUACGUUCUCUUGGUUUGCGGACUGGGAGAAGAAAGGCAGCUCGCAAGGGUUGCGCAGUGAGUUGAGCCCGCGGUCCAUCAGGUAGUUGGUGAGGUAACGGCUCACCAAGCCUAAGACGGAUAGCUGGUCUGAGAGGAUGAUCAGCCACACUGGAACUGAGACACGGUCCAGACUCCUACGGGAGGCAGCAGUGGGGGAAUUUUGGUCAAUGGGCGCAAGCCUGAACCAGCAACGCCGCGUGGGUGAUGAAGGCCUUCGGGUUGUAAAGCCCUGUCGGAGGGGACGAAACGCCAGAGUAACGAACUGGCCUGACGGUACCCUCAAAGGAAGCACCGGCUAACUCUGUGCCAGCAGCCGCGGUAA